UACGAAGGGGGCUAGCGUUGCUCGGAAUCACUGGGCGUAAAGGGUGCGUAGGCGGAUCUUUAAGUCAGGGGUGAAAUCCCGGGGCUCAACCCCGGAACUGCCUUUGAUACUGGUAGUCUCGAGUCCGGAAGAGGUGAGUGGAAUUCCGAGUGUAGAGGUGAAAUUCGUAGAUAUUCGGAGGAACACCAGUGGCGAAGGCGGCUCACUGGUCCGGUACUGACGCUGAGGUGCGAAAGCGUGGGGAGCAAACAGG
rnacentral:rRNA from 1 species